rnacentral:rRNA from 1 species
AUGAGAUAUCGGUGCAAAAGAAGCAAGUGUGCGGAACAUGCUAGAGAUGGUGGGGUGAUCCCGGUUGCCGGGUUCCCACGGGUCGACGACAUGGCAAACGAGGAGGAACGUGCAGGGACAACUCGGACACGGUGCAAACACGGGCAUCUCAUGCAUAGCAAACAUUCAUUCUCGGAAGGUCAUCUCGGCGGUUAUACCUUCGAAGCGUGCGUUUUCGAAACGGGUCGAGUUCGUAGUGGAGGUAGUCGUUCUCGCGAUGUAGUGGAAGUAGUGGUACACAUCAACGGUAGUUGUACACGUUUCGAAGGUGAACUUGACGCAUUUGAGUCCCUUCGAGGUUGUCAUGGUACUUGGGGUCUUCGGACUUGCCGGUCUCGUUCUUGCGACGGUAGUUGA